rnacentral:rRNA from 1 species
AUUGAACGCUGGCGGAAUGCCUUACACAUGCAAGUCGAACGGCAGCACGGGGGCAACCCUGGUGGCGAGUGGCGAACGGGUGAGUAAUGCAUCGGAACGUGCCCAGUAGUGGGGGAUAACCCGGCGAAAGCCGGGCUAAUACCGCAUACGACCUAAGGGUGAAAGCGGGGGACCGUAAGGCCUCGCGCUAUUGGAGCGGCCGAUGUCUGAUUAGCUAGUCGGCGGGGUAAGAGCCCACCAAGGCGACGAUCAGUAGCUGGUCUGAGAGGACGACCAGCCACGCUGGGACUGAGACACGGCCCAGACUCCUACGGGAGGCAGCAGUGGGGAAUUUUGGACAAUGGGCGCAAGCCUGAUCCAGCCAUGCCGCGUGCGGGAAGAAGGCCUUCGGGUUGUAAACCGCUUUUGGCAGGAACGAAACGGCGCAAGCCAAUACCUUGCGCUAAUGACGGUACCUGCAGAAUAAGCACCGGCUAACUACGUGCCAGCCGCCGCUGUAAAAC